UGUGUGUUUGUGUGUGUGCAUGUAUGUGCGUCUGCCUUUGUGUGGGCGUCAACAGUCGCUAGCAGUGGAGAGUUCAAAGAAGAACGCAAGACGCAGUUUGUUUGUUGCCAGCCAAAAUAUAAAAACUAAAUCAAAUUACUGUUGCUGCUGCUGCCGACUGUAACAACUACAACGAAACAACUUUAACAGCAAAUAGCUCAAACACACAACAACAAAAACAACAGCAACAAUAAUAACAAAGCAAAGAAGACGAAAGCUACGCAGCAAUAGAAACGACAACAGCUGAAAACAUAUGAUUUUUGUUUGUGUUGCUUUUGUUUUUGUACGCUGUACUCAGCUUCUUCCACUGUGUCCUCAGUCGUAAGCAGCGAAAACACGAAAGAAAAAGUUGAGCAGCGGAACGUGCGGAACUGGAACGAGCAGGCUCGCAUUGUUGUUGCUGCUGCUGCUGCUGUUGCUGCUGCUCCUAUCCACCAAUUCUCAACUGUUUCUUGACGUCGUAACAACAACGCCACCAGAAGCAGCAGCGUCAAGUGUUGACAACAGCUGAGCAGCAACACAUACACAGAGACGUGAGCAGAGGCCGCAGCGGCAGCGCAGUCAGCAGACAGGCAUAUAGACAGACAGCCUG